AUACGUAGGGUGCGAGCGUUAAUCGGAAUUACUGGGCGUAAAGCGUGCGCAGGCGGUUUUUUAAGACAGGCGUGAAAUCCCCGGGCUCAACCUGGGAACUGCGCUUGUGACUGGAAGGCUAGAGUAUGGCAGAGGGGGGUGGAAUUCCACGUGUAGCAGUGAAAUGCGUAGAGAUGUGGAGGAACACCGAUGGCGAAGGCAGCCCCCUGGGCCAAUACUGACGCUCAUGCACGAAAGCGUGGGGAGC
rnacentral:rRNA from 1 species